rnacentral:rRNA from 1 species
UACAGAGGUCCCAAGCGUUGUUCGGAUUCACUGGGCGUAAAGGGUGCGUAGGCGGCCUGGUAAGUCUGUUGUGAAAUCUCCAAGCUUAACUUGGAAACUGCAGUGGAUACUAUCCGGCUAGAGGAAUGGAGGGGAGACUGGAAUACUUGGUGUAGCAGUGAAAUGCGUAGAUAUCAAGUGGAACACCAGUGGCGAAGGCGAGUCUCUGGACAUUUCCUGACGCUGAGGCACGAAAGCCAGGGGAGCAAACGGG